ACUUGUUUUAACUUGCCAAGUAUUAGCRUUUUAACAUAUGCCCAGAAGUUAAAUAUUAAGUGCUUGUCUGCUACAGCAAAAAGGGCAAGGGCCCAUUGGCUGCUGCUUGCAUCUCAGCCAAAACAGGAGGUCGUUAUGAAGGGGAACUGUUCUCUGAAGCCCAGUCUUGUCGGCGAUAAGUGCUGAAGUCCUCAUUGUGAGCUCUUGAAUUGGCUCUGAUGGCCCUAUUUGAGAUUGUGCCCUUUUACCCAUAGGAGGGCUGUGCAGGAGGCUGACAGUGUAAGCUGCAUGUGUGAUGAGCUGUGACUGCCUUGACUUCAAUCAUGGAGAUGUGCUGGAACUGGGACGUGAUGCAGCUAGUAGUGCUGCCAGCAAAAGUAAGUAGCUAACACACRAGUGUGGCAGGUCAGAACUGUGAUACAGGGAGUGAGGAAGUUACUAGACUCUGGCCUUUUAAUUACUGUGCAGCUACAGCAUUAAACAAGGUUCUUGAUAAUUUUAUUACCUUUGUCAGGUAAAAGUCCCACAGGUUUGCCAGCAGCCUGCAGGAUUGACUCACUCAAGGUGCUGCAUAUCUCAUACUUGAAAUUAACUUUCUGUAACUAAGAAGAAAUAGCAGGGACCAUUUUAAAUGUAGACCUACUGUAGACUACUUGAAUUCCUUAUUGGUGAGAAAAGCUCUCUGCUGGCAGGUUGCCACACAUUCUGUGCUGAGCAAAUGCAGUACAAUUAAUUGUUMAACUUGCUAAUUAAAUUUAGUGGGCUCUUUCAGGGUGUAACAAUCAUCUUGAAUGCUUACGUGGUGAAUUGUCUUGGUGGCUAGAUCAGAGCUCUUAGGGUGAUGUGAAUCAGGGUGUGGUUGGGAGUAAGAUCUGAAAUGCUCAAGUCAAUUGACCCUUUAAGCAGAGUCAAGGGAUACAACAUUAAGCUGCUCUAAGCAGCAGUGUACUGUUUGUGAUGAAUUCUAAGCAAUGGGAAUCUCUCUGAAAGGCUGAGGAGAACUGUUGUGCUGAAACAGUACCCACAUUCACACACUAAGAUCACUGCCAAGAGGAGUAUGUUGGUACAAUUUCACUUCUUUGUAGGGUGAAGCUUGUGUGGAGUUUGUGUGAGAAACAAAGACUGGUGCAUCCGAGGUAAUUGUAAAGUACCUGGGAUUUAAUUAYUUUUGGAAUACUGUUUUUGUGCUGAAUGCUUAGAUUAAUGGUGCUGAAAAUUAGUCCUCUAAGGUAGCUGAUUUGUCCUCCGUUUAUUGUAUCUGGCUGUUSUGUGGGCAUCACUGUAACAGUGCACUCUAGAAUUUAAACAAAAAAAAUGUCUAUGCUGUGGCUGUCACUUCUCAGUACUAAACUUUUCAUUGGCUGUACACAAAUUUGGAUCAAGUUCUGGAUGAUCGCUAUUCAAACUUGUUUCCAAACAAACUGGUUCUCGCUUUCAAAAAUAAAAACCAUCUUGAAAAGCUAUAGGACUUGUAUUUUAGGUAUUUAAAAUAAGGAAACAAAACUUUCUGUUGGACGAGACASUACCACAAAGCAAAGUAGUAGCUUUAUACUCUUCCCCAGUCAUUCCAAUGUUAUUAAUUCUGUAUUUCCAGUUCAGUUAGCAUUUUUAAGCUUCGUGUAUCRUAUUUGGGUGCACAAGUCGAACUUGUGAGUUGUCAGCUGGAAGUCACCUUCCUUCUAGGUAAAAUAGUUCGAUAAAUAAAAAAUUAAUAGAUAAUUAAACUUUGCAUGUAGCACUGUUUGUUAUUCUGAAAGAACUUCUCUCUUCCUUAGGAAAGGACUGCACUGCCUGCAGCMUCUCUGGGUGAGGAGGCAACUCUGAAACUGUUGUAUGAAGAACUGAGAACGUGAGUAUAACUGCUGUAAUAAUGAAGUUUAUUUGUUGGAACAAGUGAUGAUAACCUUAGCUUGAACUCUCUCACUGAACAGAGAUGAAAUUCUAAGGUCUGAGAUGUUUCCAACAAGUGUCUUGUGCUGAUUCAGUACCUUAUAAUGAUUCUUCUGUCUGUCUUACUAGGUGGAAAAUUGCUGAUAAAUGGGUUACGCUUGCAUGAACAACAUUAGAAAAGCUGUGUUUUUUUCCGCACUGGUAACGUUUGCCUGACAUUGAAGCCAAUAAAAAUCUGCAAACUCUA